rnacentral:rRNA from 1 species
UCAAGUCAUCAUGGCCCUUACGACCAGGGCUACACACNUGCUACAAUGGUAGGUACAGAGGGCAGCUACACAGCGAUGUGAUGCGAAUCUCAAAAAGCCUAUCGUAGUCCAGAUUGGAGUCUGCAACUCGACUCCAUGAAGUAGGAAUCGCUAGUAAUCGCGGAUCAGAAUGCCGCGGUGAAUACGUUCCCGGGCCUUGUACACACCGCCCGUCACACCAUGGGAGUUGAUUGCACCAGAAGUGGUUAGCCGA